rnacentral:tRNA from 1 species
GGGGAUGUAGCUCAAAUGGUAGAGCGCUCGCUUUGCAUGCGAGAGG